CACCUACAUAUAUAUUUAUAUACAUGUAAUUUCCAUCUCUAUAUAGAUAUAUAUAUAUACAUGUAGAACUUGGACAAAAUCCAUAAAAGCACACGGUUCCAUAUGCUUUGUUUUCUUUUUUUUUUUAUAUAUAUAUAAACAUGUGAAAAGGUAUCCACAUGUCUUUUAUUUAGCCACACAAAAUUUUUCUUGGCUCCAUGCAUAUAUAUAUAUAUAUAUAUACAUACACAUGUCAAAACAUCCCAUCCUUUAUCUUUUUUUCUUUUGUUUGUAUAUGUAUGUAUGUGUACACGGUUUCAUGUAAACAUAAAAGGUGUCCACAUGUCUCUCUAUUAGGCCACACUUGCACUUAUAACAAAUCUGUAAAAAAAUUAAAGAGAAUAAUCCAUAAUUAUCCCCAUGAAAAGGAAAAUUCAAUGCGUGUGUAGGUAGGUAGGACCAUAAAGAUAAUGAUUUGUCUAUUCCAAGCAGCCAAACAAACAACAAUCCGAAUAACUUUUGUAGAACAAAAAACAAAAUAAUAAUAAGAAUCAUUUAAAAUUAUCGACAUCUUUUCCAGUGGUGAGAGAGAAGGAAAUAAUUAUGCAGCUUGAAAAGAUAAAUCACUAUUGACUAUAUUGACUGUGUAUUCGAUGUGUAUUUAUCACAGUUCGAUCAAAAAACUCUCUCUCUCUCUCUCUCUCUAAAUCAUAAUUAGUAGUGAUCGGCAGAAAGAAAAAUGUCGAGAGUCUGUUUGUUGCUGUUUUUGUGCUAAAUACCAGCGUUGGGGUCUUAGCGGUUGAGGCUUUUAGCAGACAAGAUUUCCCUACUGGCUUUCUCUUUGGCGCUGGAACCUCAGCUAAUCAGCUUUCUCAUAUAUAUCAUUUUAAAUAUAUGCAUUUUUUUUUUAAAAAAUCUCAUGAUAAGAGCUGGACUAUAUAUAUAUAUAUAUAAAUACAUACAUGCAAGAAGCCAUAGAAGUAAUUAAUGAUGUUUAUGUUAAAGAUAUUAUUCCAUGGAAGGUGGAAGGAGCAGCAAACGAAGAUGGGAGGACUCCCAGCAUUUGGGAUAGUUCUUUUGCUCCUAGUGCCGUAUUUGGACAACCUUACAAAAGGAUCCAUCAAAUAAUCAUCUUGGGUGUCCUCUACUACAAAAAUGGAGAAGAGCUGGAAACUAGCUUUACUCCUCCUGCAUAUAUUUCUAAAAGACUCUGCUCUUCAUAAGUCCAGAACCAGAAACUGAGCCAACCUCUUCAUCAUCAUCAUCAACAUCUCCAUGAGAAAAAGAGAGUUUUACCAAAAACCGCUAUCGUAAAAGAGAGAAUCCAACCAGUAUUGAAAGAUUUGAGAAGAGAGGAAACCUGAUCGGUGAACUUCAGCAGAGAUCGGUGAACUUCAGCAGAGAUCUUUUUUUGUUGAAGGCACGGCUGACUAUUCGAGAUCUGUUCGAUGAAGAUUAGCUGGUGUGCGUGGGUCGACGAGCGGUGAACGUUUCGCAAGCCAGUGAAGGGGCUGGUCGAGCGACGAAGGUGAGAGACAAGAGAGGCCAAGGUGAAAGAACAGGUGGAAACAUCUUUUUGAUGUUUUCCCAAUUUUGUUUUUUUUUUUAACUUGUUUUCAGAACUUGUUUUUAGAAACAAAUGGCCAAACAAGUAUAAAAUUGUUUUGGAAAUAAAUUUCUGUUUUCAAGAACAAAAAACUGUUCUGAAAACAGCUGGCCAAACAGGCCCUAAAGUUCUCGUUUUCAAUCAGCGUGACACUAUUAGAACUUUGAUAUUUUAUCAUUUUUUAA